GGACCCCGAGGGUAUGUGAACCUAAUAAUCACCUUUCUCUUUCCCUAAGGUCAUAAAAGAGAAUCGCAACUCUCAACUCCUUCCCUGAUGAUCCCCUUUCCCUCAAUGCUUGGUAAUCGUCGCUGGAAUGUAAUUGUCGGAGAAGUUCAGGUCCCCAAAGUGGUGUGUGCAAAACUCGCUGGAGAAGAGGAAAGAAAAGGUGUUGGUGGUGGGGAGAAAAAAUAAAAUGAAAGUCCACCGUCGGAUAUCACCUUCGACGGCGGUGACUAGUGGUCGAAAAAUUUACCAGUGAGACUUUUCAGGAUCAGAUGCAAGUUGGUAAUGGCUCCAACUAAAAUGGCCAUCCAUUUUGGUAGAGCCUUUGGUGUCGCAACAGAUAAGUUCCGGUGAUACAUAUCAAAUUGGUAAUGACCCCAAACAUGGUCGUGUAGGAAAUUUGGUUGUUGGUUAAAAGGUGAUGAAAUGUUCCGAUUAUAUGUGAAUCAUGGAGUAUGAAUUGUUAGAGAAUCUAACCACUUUAUUUAGUAGGUAUGUGAGUGUAUUUAAAUGGGAACUCUCUUGACAUGUAUCACAUUUUAUCCCAAUGUAUUUUUAUUUUAAUUAAUUUUACAUAGCAGGUGGACUGGUGGAGCUAAGCUAUAGUCACAGACUCAGGCCCCACCCACGCAUAGGACUAUAGGAGACAUGGGCAAAAUAGGGCUGUUACUUCCUGCACCUUAAAGUUACUUUGUUUGGGGUCUGUUGUAUAUGUGAACAUUUCACAACAAGGUGUUGAACAUAAAUGUUUUUUUAAAAAUAAAAAUAAAAAUAUAGAAGGAAUGUAUUUUACCGAAAUAUGGAGGUAUAUACAUCAAUUUGGCAUUUUAAUAUGAGUUUGCAUUAUUUCGA